rnacentral:rRNA from 1 species
ACUCCUACGGGAGGCAGCAGUGGGGAAUCUUGGACAAUGGGGGCGAACCCUGAUCCAGCCAUGCCGCGUGAGUGAUGAAGGCCUUAGGGUCGUAAAGCUCUUUCGCCUGUGAUGAUAAUGACAGUAGCAGGUAAAGAAACCCCGGCUAACUCCGUGCCAGCAGCCGCGGUAAUACGGAGGGGUUAGCGUUGUUCGGAAUUACUGGGGCGUAAAGCGCGCGUAGGCGGAUUAGUCAGUUAGAGGUGAAAUCCCAGGGCUCAACCCUGGAACUGCCUUUAAUACUGCUAGUCUUGAGUUCGAGAGAGGUGAGUGGAAUUCCGAGUGUAGAGGUGAAAUUCGUAGAUAUUCGGAGGAACACCAGUGGCGAAGGCGGCUCACUGGCUCGAUACUGACGCUGAGGUGCGAAAGUGUGGGGGAGCAAACAGGAUUAGAUACCCUGGUAGCGACUGA